AUGGGCAGUGGGAAGGGCCAAGAGUUUCAAGUGUAUGUGCAUCGUGUCAGUUUUCUGGCAGAGUUUGGACGCCCUACACAUCUAAAUCUCAUUGUUGUAGCCAAGGCCGUAUGCAUAGGUCGUCCAACCGAUUUUGUCGUUGUUCCACUUGAGGACAUGGACAUCAGAGAUGCUGCUGUGAGGGUUGUGGCCUUGGCCAUUGAAGGCAGUGCUCUCCGACACCCAAACAAAUCCUUCCGGCAAUGGCAGGUGCCGGCUCUGGGUGGCGUCAAAGUUGGCAACGGCUGCUGCCAUUGCACCCGGCAUGAAGAGCAGGACAAGAAUAACUAG
rnacentral:rRNA from 1 species